GUGUAUUCAUUUUAGCCUCACAGGUAUUAAAAUUGGAAUGAUUCAGAGAAAAUCAGCAUGACCCCUGUGCAAUGAUGACACAAAUUUGUGAACUGUUCCAUAUUUUA